GGCUGCCUUCUCCUGCCUCAGAACCACUGCUGUAUGAACCCGCUUGCACAGGAGAAGCAGCUUGAAGGAAUGAGACCACAGGGAGAAAAAGGGGGCAGGAAGGCCUUGGAUAACCCAGGCCUGUGCUCAAACCACUUCAGAGAGCUCUCAGGGCUCCUUGCAGAUGCGGCGAGUUCCUGCAGAUUCAGCUCCUGCACUGCCCACGUCCAAAUCUGGGCCUUUGAAAGGACAGCAUAGCUUCGUGCCAGAGACCUAGGGGACAGAGGUGCUGCCUCCUGGUGAAGGAGAAGAGCUAGGAGACCUACUGGAGCAGUAGACCACCGUAGAGAUCAGGUGGGUACAGCCAGCAAGCAGAGCAGCACAUCAAACAUCAGGCUUUGUUACAAGGGGUAGUCCUGUACCACAAACCCCAGGUCCGUUUCACGCCAGCGUUAGGGGAUUUGAUUUCUGCAUAACGCACAAAUCUAGGUUUCUUUGAGAAGAUAAAGACCUUUUGCCCCUAAUGGGUCGCCUUCUGCAAACAUCCAUCCUUACAAGUACAAAAUGUCCUUUCUGUUGUUCCUCUCUGAGUCAGGAUUGCCUCAAACACCCCAGAGUAAGCAGCCCCUUACCCCCUUACCAUUGGUGUCGGAGAAAAGCUGGACCAGAAACAGUUUUCUGUGGGGAGGGUGCAGCUUUUGGAGAUGAUUGGAAUGAAACAAAUCCCCUAUGAAUUAAUUGAAAGGGUCAAUGUCUGUAGUUAAUCAGUUGAAAUUGCCUAUCGUUAUCCAGCUGUGUCUUUCAUGUCAGCUAGAAGACAUCUGGGAGGCAGCAGCCAUCAGUGAACAACGUGAGAGGCCUUGGGCUCAGUGUAUGUGCGCCGCAGAGCUCAGCUGCACCUUGAGAAGAUUGUCCCAGGGAUGAUAUUCUGGUUUUACGCUGCCAUUGCUCUCCUGUUCAGCCUGGUGUGAGGUGGCCACCAGGCUCCCCCAGGUGUCUCCUGACCAGAGCAGCUCCUGGAUGGAGAAAUUCACCCCACUUCACACAUGUCGUCUCCCGAGGGCUGUUUGUCCACCUCCUGCCUUGCUGGAGAGGAUACCAAGGGAGAGAUGGUGACUGGAAGAGGAGAGGUGCUCUGAAACAGAAACAGGACAACCAGUGUUGCCUGCCAGCGGUGAGGGCUUCUCCAACCUUUUCCAAUACUUCUCCAAGCUUCCCAAGCCAGAAAAUAACAGCUGAGGCCCUCAGCUCCCAGGAAAAGAUGUUUUUUCAGUGGACAGAGGAUUACAGAGUGUCCGAAGCUCUGACACUGCCAGGGAUUUUGCAUUACCGCGCCUGA
rnacentral:lncRNA from 1 species